GAGCGUCUCCGUUCUGCGCGUCACGCUAUUCGCUGGCCGAAGCGGAGGGGUGCAUUCAGUCUGCUUCGAGCCGCGACUGCGAGAACUUGCGCUACGAAUUGUGCGUCCCAUCAAAAACAAACUUGCUCCGGGUUAAUCCCCGGGAACAAACGAACCGAAAUCGUUGAUUCGAUCGAGAUAUCAGUUCGAUAAACGGUACCGGGAAGAAGAUCGUGCACCUCCGCUCGCGCCUCGACGAUCAGCGAGCGGGGAAUUGCUUUGACAUAUGAUACCGACGGAAAAGCGGGAAACCUCUUGCUCCUUGGUCGACAUGAAUACACCACCUUUUCUUCGAGUCGAGGGAUGAGAGAGCGACACAAUGAUGCUCCAUCGAAGCACAUCGUCGCGACGCUCCAGGGCAUCGCGCAACAUGACGAAUCUCAGCUACACGUCGACGAUGACUGGACCAAGAGGGCGACGUGCUAGCGUGGCGACCGACAGACCAGUUGAUUUGCCGCAAACAAGUCCACGAGGAACCAUGGAACGAUCACCCAGAGGCAGUUUCGUACCCGAUAUCGCCCUCGACACCGAAAACGAUUACGAGGGCACCAACCACAGGACCCUGCUGGAUCGAGACCACUACGGAUCACGAAAUAUGCUGAACCAAAAAAUAAGCCGCAGUCCACGCAACUCCUUGGUGCCGGACGAUUAUUACAGGAGUCCCCGAAACGGAGGACGCAGUCCUCGAAACAGUCUAGUCCCGGACCAGACUUUAGCGCCCGACAUGUUGUACGGUUCGCGUCAUUCUCUGGUCCCCGAGGCUCCGUUGAGUCCCAGGAACUCGCUCGUUCCCGAUGUCACGCACAACAGGAGCCCCCGUAACAGCAUCGCACCCUUGACCGGUUCCCGAACGUCCCUGUUGUCCGAAAACGGAAAUCCGAUUCCUAGCCGCAGUCCUCGACACUCGUUGGUACCGAGCACGUCCAGAAGUCCUCGAGGUAGCAUCACGAAUAUGGAACUGGUGGAUCGCAGUCCUCAGAGAAGUCCACGAGGCUCGAUAGCCUCGGAAUGCUUGAAUCAAAGCCCACGAAACUCGAUCGCUCCGUACGAGCAAGUGAACAGGUCGUCGCGCGGAAGCAUCGGCAUGAACGACGCGCACAGAGGAUCGAUCGGUGCUAACGAGGACGAAACCAGGAGUCCACGCAGGAACAUCAAUCCCGAUAUUAUCGAUAGGACUCCCCGGGGCAGCUUUGAUGGUUUGCCAGAGCGGAGAACCACGAAAGCACUAAUGGCACAGGACCCUAGAAGGGCUUCGGCUGAUCAAGGCAUGAACGGCAGUAAAAACUCCUCCCCUUACCGACAGAAAGAGAUAAACUCUGGGAGCGUGAAGUCCGCCGGAAGCACGGUCCAGAACACCCUAGGAUGUGGGCCAAGCGCUUUCGAGGAUUCUAGACGAGCCAGUAGCUCUGUCUCGCAGUUUUCGAACGACGAAUCCCGUCGACUGUUCACCAACGGCCCCAACAUACCGAAGAACACCAAGGAGAAUGGAAACGUGAGGAUGGUGACGUACGGAUCGGUGGUAUUUCAGUUGAAGGAUGCGAAUUUGGAAGCGGAUAACAUUUGCGAUUUCGUGUUACGCGCGCUUAAAGUGGUCAGUAGAACCAAGGUGGCAACAGGAUGUCUGGUAUGCUUAUCCGCGGUUCCGAUCUCCAUGCUGAUUUACGGCUGGAAGUUCUUCAACGAGUGUCCCCGGGAACCGAAGAUACCGGUUUACUUGGUGAUCGGCGGAACGUUCGGCACGAUGUUCAUAACUUUGUGCAUUUACUCUCAGAUACAAUCACGCAGGCCAGAAGUAGUGAUGGCACAACCUCAAGGACCUCAAAUAACGUUCACGAAAGUGAUUACCGUCGGCUUAUCGUUCUUCCUACUAGUGUGGUUCGUGAUGGGAAAUUUCUGGAUAUUGAGUAUCGAGUGGCCAGACGACGAGUCCGAUUAUUAUCAACGCAACAGUCACUGUAAAAAUCGUUUGUACAUAUUCGCACUGGUGCACCUUAUCGUAAUAUACAUGGUAUUCGUGAUCAUGUUUCUCGUAAUAAUCGUGCUGGCUUCGUUCAGAAUCCUGGAUUGCCCUCUGCCGGAAAGGUAAGCGAUCGACGAUCGUUUUUUAACCGAGAAAUGAUCGCUUUGCUCGAGCAGAUACACGCGAAUCACGAAACUCGACCGACAGGAUUCGCAGUUAACAACGCGAUAAACCAUGUCCUACAUUCGUCCAAGCGCAGUUUUCUGGCACAUGUUCCCCUAUGUCGAAUUCCCGACAAUAGUUGCUAAAAAUACGUACAAACGGUUAACGUUCCGGCAAUUUGAUAAAUAAUUGAUCGCAGUCUACUUGUCACUUUCGCGAAAUGCCUGACGGGCAAACACUUUUCAUGUAUAUUGUACGUGCAAAAUAGUAGGUCAACGAAUUUCGUCGCGUGUACGCGCCAGAGGCUCAUAAAUACCGAGGAGGUCACGCGCUCGCGAUGAACCAAGCGUUUUCCGUUUCGCGUGUUCCCAGAGAACCAUCGGUUUUUGCUCCUCUCGUUUCCUCUUAUCUUCGCGUUAACCGCGGAUUCGCGUGAUCGGAGAAAUCGAGAGAAAGAAUUACCCGGCACGCGCGUCCAACUUUGCUCACCGACUGACCUGGCUCGCGAUUACCAUCGACCACGAGAUCCCGACUCGCGCCACUUUUCUUUUCGCGAUAAUUGCCACGUCAGUUGCCGCGAGUCGAAUCAGAAUCAUUUUUAUGUUCGUGCGCUGCCGAACGAGGCAGGGAAAUGGUAUACAGAAACCAGAGUCACUGUUAUUAUCGCGUAUUCUUAUCGUUCGCUUAGCUUUUCAUAAUUAUAUAUAAUUUACAAAUAACGACACAACAUUGUACGUGAAUAAUAUUCGUCGGUGCGAUUAGAUAUAAAUAACCACGGAGGUCUACCCGGUUGAAAGAAACGGAAGCCGAAGAAACGUGGACGAUCCUCGUGGAAGGUAAGGAAAAACGCAUCGUCCAGAAACCCGUUCUGAAAACUGUCGUGGAGCAGAACGAGUGUAACUCGGACUCGAAUUCUGGUAGUAUGUCUAACGACAAAGUUGCGUCCGAGUCUAUUCCAGCGGAACAUGAUUUCACACCUUCGUGUGCUAACGAAGAUACUGUACAGACCGAAAUGAGAGACAACGAGUUAGAAAGAUGGAAAGCUGAAGCGACGUGUGCUUCGGACGUGCACGAAGUCGCUCCACAAUUCGUGACUUAGUUAAAUCAUGAUACGUGAUCCAAAUAUACGUCCCAAAUGUUGACAAGCUAUCCAUACGGAAUUUAUGAAACGAAAAUUUUUAAAAUGUAUACACAGGUGAAAAAAAAUUGAUCUGAUAAAGCAUGAAAGGUAAAAAAUUUGUGUCGAGGAUUAACGUUCUAUAAAACCGAAGGGGGUAGGAAUGUUUAAAGCAUGAAUGUCCGUGGGCGUGCAACCACCGCUUCGAAUAUAUCGGCGAUAUCGUAAUCAGCAUUGGUUUCGCGAAAUUCGACAAAAACGCGUUACCAAAGAGGAAAAUCCCGAACGAAACUCUGACCGCGUUACGUAUAGUUCGAACCAUCCAAAGCGAAACGAAGCGGGGAGAGAAGCCUCAAUGCCGGAAAAAGGAAGGAUUACGGAAAGAGAGUCCGAUCGAUUUCGGGAGAAUGAACGGAUGAGAAAGGUUAUUGGUUCUUUAUCGCAACGAGAUGUGGGUGUAUACGUAUGUAACGACCCGCCACUCGGUCCAACGUUCGAAUCCACCUGAUCGAAUCGAAUUCGGCGAUAUAGCGUGGCUGCCAACGCGAAUAUGUACAUAUAUACGAUACAUCGUUGGCAAAGUAUCUAACGAAGCGGACGCAGCAGGAAAUUUUUCACCGGAUUGCUGCAGCUUUUCGUUUUCUAUAUUUCUUCGAGUGACGGGCGGAUCAGAUACUAAAGAGAUCUAACUCGCUGCUGAGAAUCAGAAGAAUCGCCUGCAGGCUUGUACGCUUUCGGAAGGAGAUCAAAUAUUUAUGAACUGCCCGUCACUGUUUCAAGUAUUUCGGAUCUGACGUUGGAAGUAUGAGUCUCCACGCAUGGAUUUAAAGCGACAGAACAUUCAAGAGUUAAGGAAAGGGGUAAACGAUCGACCCUUAAUGAGUUUGUCGGCGAACUUAAAGGUAAGCGACUUUCGUUGUUCCUUUGAAUGCUUUCAGGAUCUUUCGAAAGCUUGACUGAGCAUCGGUUCGCGAAAAAGUUACGCUUUCUUGUCGAAAUACCUUCCUAAAUUCAUUGUCGUGCUUUCCGUGCAAAUCGACUGGCUGGUUUAAUUGUUACGCGAAAAUCUAACCAGAUUUUGUUGUAUGUACAUACUACUUUUUAUAAAUGUUUUUAUCGGCGGUUAUGGGGUUCCAUUCGUAUCGUCAUGCAACCGAGAUGAACGCGAUUUUUUCAACUGUUCAUCGAAUAUCUUUUUUAUCAUUUUCUCUGUUCCGUGCUUUAAGCUGAUGCAUUUUCUGUGAAAAUUGUUUAAAGUCAUGUAGUGAGGUUAAUUACACGAUUUGACUAUUUUGUACCAUUUCUACUUGACAUCCACAUAAAAUCAAUAUUCCUCGGUCUCUUUAUUUUUGCAAACCCUCGGUGAACAGUUAAAUCAUCCAUGUACAGCAGACACGAUCGAUGAGUAAAAGAAAGAAAAUCGAUCUGUGUGCAUCAUCUUGUACGAGGUAUCAACUGGUGUCAACAAAAAUGUAUUCCUUUCGUGUCCGUCAAGCCGCCACUUAUCCGCGACGAUUCAAUUACGGUAAUCAACUCGAUACGACUCUACAAAGCCUAACUAAAUUGUCCAUAAAAUAAGGGAGAGAUCGUUCCUUUCGUAGAGUAACGGGGUGCAAUUGUCCGUUCGAGAUGCCAUCCCAAAACUUGAUUCUCUGACUAACUAAACACGAAACGGGGUCAAGAUCCCACUAAGACGAAAGAGAUAAAUUGUCAAUUAAAUCAACGCAUCGGAGAUUUCCAUUUUCAUGGAACAACCGGUGACAAUUUGAUGUACACACAUACAUAUAUACAUGUUCUAUAUACAUAUAUAUGUAAAUAUAAAAUAUGCAAGCUACAUUAACUUAAUUGUUAUCGAAGAAUCGACCAAUCCAACAUGAUAGUGGCAAUAGAUAUUAACGCGUUCGCUGUGGACACUACGGACACUUGAAUAAAUGAUAUAAGUGGAAUAUGAAUUUGAUCUCGGUGUAACUUAAUGAGAGUUUAGACUUGAUUAUUAAUUAAACUUAACGUCAGAUCCCCUUCAAAUUACACUGAUCAUCAAAGAUCAGAAUACCAAGAGAUUUGAACCGAGUACAGAAGCUGAAAUUUUAGUUACAGCGAUUCGUGAGUGCACAGCGAACGCGUUAACUGCGUCAGGAAGCAUGAAUCUCGUUUGUCGUCCAAAUGACUAUACGCGAGAGUCAUGUGGACACGUUCGACGUCCAUGAUCGCGAGACGAUUCGAAAACGGGUCCAUACUUAAUCGUCCGUAGGUGUUACCGAUCUGUGCUAAUCUUUCAGUACAGAUUAUUAGUCUGUAUCGAUGUAAAUGUGUGUGAAUCGUCUCCUGUUAGACAACUUCGAUAAUAGUGAUCGUUCUUCUGGUUCAUGAUCGAGAUUCGGUUCAAAAUUGAAGACUUUAUUCGCUGCAAUUGUAUAUAAUCGCAAGGCUAAAAGGAGAAUAAUGAGCGCUUUUAAUCUACAGGUUUUUCGACAUUCGUAUUUUGCGAGUGAAAUUAGCUGGUCGUUUUAUUUCGAGCACGUAUCGUCGCGAUUUGUGAAUGAAUAAAAUCUGGUGAAAUAUCGUUCGGUAAAUAACAUUUGGUGAAAUCCUCGGUAAACGAACGCGCAGAAGUUCCGAGAAUCAAUAAUAAAAUGUAAAACGAUGAAUCGAGGGAAACGAGAAUCAAUGAACGCUGCAGGUGGAAACGACAUGUAUUAUAUCGAAAUAUGGAAACAGAAGGAACGAUCAGUUAAUGAAACACGUCGAAACAAGAGGCAAGAUUAUUUCAGUCGACGCGGAUACACACCCACACAUACAUACACUAAUUGCGUACAUGAUGGGAGCAAAGAGAAUUUGAGAGAAAAAAGGGACCUGAAAUGCAGUUACGUCUGUAAUUUAUCGCAUGGCACGUGGUCCAACGUUUCAAAAAUACGAAACCACCUCUAAAUGAAUACGUAAAAUUAAUUAAUAGACGCUUACAAAAAAUAGUAUAUCAAUAAAAAUAUUCAAUUUAUAGAACUAACCAUCCAAAAACCCUUUGGCGUUAGAUUGUUAUUCGAUCGAAAUAAUUCCAUUCUCUUGCUUUCUAUCGUUAUUUACUUAACAAAGAGCAAUUGUUUGUGUAAAUCAUUUAUAAAAACAAUAACAGUGAUAUCCGCACAAAUUGUCAAAUUUUAACAUCUACCUGAAGGUGGUCUCCAAUCUUUUGACCAACAGUGUAUAAUAACCAUUUCCCUAAAAUUUCGCGAGACAACGUUUCAUAAAAUGUACGAUAUUUCGGUAAGCGAAUAGGAUAAGCGUAUGUUAAUCGUAUUAUAAGCGAUUUCGAUAAAGGUUCGUUCGCGUUAACUUACCCGGCGACUGCUCAAUUUUCUUCUGCAUUUUUCCUUCGUUUGAAUCGUUCGUAUCAUGCGAAUAAAUCGCAGACGUAAGUGUGGCCAUCGAACCUUUUCGAGUCAGUAGCCGCGUGUAUUAGAGUCCUCGUUUAUAGAUAAUCGUACCUAAGAAUCAACGAAAUUCUGAUAGUCGCGAAGAUUCAUUUAGCUGGAGCGCAUUCAACGAUUAUGUGGAAUGAUCUAGGUCCUUAUCGUUCACUGUGUGCAGGUUGAACGUGACAUUGACUAAAAUUUCGAUAGGCGAUAGCCUGUCAAUAGACGCCAUCGAGAAAUGAAAACGUAAUUCUAAAAAUUCACAUUUUUAUUUAAAUUCUGCCUCGAUGAAUUUUGAUGACCAGGUGAACAUUUCUCGAGAAGGGUCAAAUAUUCUCAGGCAGUCUAAAGUUUCGAUUUCCGUGCGACAAAUAUUAAAUGAGAGCAUUUGACGUUUUCACGAGUCUCGAUGGUCGAUAAAAUGGAUUAGCGUAUAACUCUACGUACAGUAGAACCUCGAUAUUUUCCUUAUCGAUAACUUCCCGAAACGUCACUCGUUCACAUACGUUACGUGAACCUGGGUUAAGGUAGGUUAAGUUAGAUUAGGUAUAGCUCCUAAGCGAACUAUAGCCCUGAAUUCUACAGCUUGUAGGAAUACUAUAGUUUCUCGUUAAAAUUCGCUAUCGGAAACUAUGCUAGCACACAUUAUUCACAAAACGUGCGUCUGUAGAGUCCCUAACGUAGAAAAAUAUCGAGAUUUUGCUGUACGCGACUCGAGUCGAGGGAUACUCUGUUAUUCCGUGAGCGACCAAACUAGAACUCCACGAUAGGUUUCCAUUUCAUGACUUUUCUCGCUAGCUGGUAAGAAUUAACAGUUGUGUUGAUAUAUCUAACGUUAACGUGUCGUUGAAUUUAUAUAGAAUAGAGAGCUUAUUUAUUUUUAUACUGUAUGGUUUGAUAGCGUCCAACAUAUUUGAUUAAAUAACGGCGCAACGAGCUAGUCGUUAUCGCGUUUCUUCGUUUGUUCGUAUUUGAACGUGUUCCGUGGCACCGAUGGCCCACGGCUUUUAUCGCAAACAUCGCUUUAAUUAAGCGGGGUACCUCUUCGGUUUAACUUUGAAAGUGGAACGCAAACGUAAUAAAAUUCUAGCUUUCUAUAAUUAAAUACUAUGAUGUACUCCUUGGACAAACUUCAUUUUCACGUGGCACGGAACACUCGAUCGAUUUCAACAAUUAACCACCGUCAUAUAGGUAUCUUACGUGUAUGUACGAUAUACAUAAUAAUACGUAUUUAUAAUUAUAUGUCUUGUAGAAUCGCGUCGUGUUUUUUCGUCCUUAGAGACGAACACGAUGAUCCCUCGAUUUACCGAAGCCGCGUAAAACGAGGUACCAGCGCGUUCGAAACGCGUAUUGUUUAGCCGUGUCGUAACUAUUUGGUAGUGAUUAGGAUAAUUUGCACGCACUUGUGUCGCGAAUCGUGGUUCAGGCUUUAACGUAGAACUCAUAAACACGUACGAGUGUUUCCUUCUUUCGCGGACGGAAAUAGCGUCGGGAACCGUGGGACCCGCCAUCUUUCAACUGUUUCUUCUCAUCGUCCGCUGGAAUGGUUCCCGUCGUUGCUUACGGUACCGACGAAACAACUAUCGCAAACAUCGAUUACAUUUUUCUAUAUCAUUUGCACUGUUCCUACGAACGACCGUGAAUCGUAUCGUAUCGAUACAUGUCUCACGAUCGUUCCUGUAUAGAAAGAAAAUAAGCGAUCGCGUCGUGCGCUAAUACGACAUCGGAAAUGGUGUCUCUCUUUCAAGGAGCGUCGAUAGUUCGCGGAGAAAGUAUCUUUAUUAAACAUCGUCCUGAUACAACUGUUAAUUAGGCCGUCCGAUUGAUAUCAAUGUGAAACAACAAUAUGGAUACUGAUCAACAAUGUACGUUGCGACGUGUACGCGAAAUUACUCUGCGAUUACUAGAUAGCACCGUGCUGCUUUAUUGAUUUUCUUCGGUCGAUGGAGAACGGCGGAACGCUUUAUCCUCUUCCCUUUUAUUAAGAAUAUAAUAGCAAUGAGUGUAAGGAAUGACGACGCUUGAUUCGAACGUAUGAAAUACUUAUUUCGUACGAGAACGUUCAACAACGUUUCUAACUUCGUCUAAAUUCUUGACCGAUCUUUCGAAAUCAGCAAAAAUAGAACAGUUUGACAAAUUAAAGAAGUAAAUUUGUAUCCAGAGUUCUUAAUACCCAUCGUUCGAAAAUCAUCACCUUAUCGACAGUAAAAAUACGUCCAAUCUCAUAGAAAACGCGACGAUCUCGAUUCGUCCGUGUUUGGAGACCUCGUGUAAUACCGAUUCUGUUGUACGUCAAUAAAUUUCAAUAUAUUGUGUCCUAGUUAAUUUCAGUCGCGUUAGAAAUAUAAAUUUGUAGCUGGUCUCGGUGUUUGUAACUACAUAUCGAUCCCGGCGACAAAGCGUUAUUCGAGGGAGCACGACGCACGACUUGUUUCAUCGGUUUCUCUCGUCGAUUAUUAACAUCUUGACUGCCACGAAUAUUCAAACUUCAAUUUCCUAAUUUUCCAUUAACUUCAAAUACUUAGAACUAGUAUAGAAAUUUCCAAUAGAAAUUCUAGCGAGUUUCAUGGCAGUCAACGUGUUAGAUGUUCAUCGAAUCUUCAUUUUCUCUAAAUACGAGCGAGUCCGCGUAUCGAGUCUCCCGAGGAUGGUCUAUUCGAGGAGCAACGAAGUUCAACCUCUUCUCGAAGAAAGAUGGCUCUCUGAGCUGGGAAUUAGCGUGCUCAGUGACCCAACGAAACAUUCGGAUCUUGCGAGGGAACAUCGAUCGCCGAUUGCAUCGAAGCUCGAACCGUGGACUCGUUGCAGCUGCAUCUACGACGAAGAAUUCCGAGGGUCCAAUCGCUGCUUUCGAAUUAUUAUCAAAACGUUCUUCUCGAAUGCGAGAAACUUGAGCGUUCGAAAAAUCGGCGAACGAGGAUGUCGUCGCUUCGAGAUCGACCUCAUUACGCGACGGUAGAAAGAAUGACCAACCUCCAGAAUAUAUCGAGAAUUAUUUUUUUAAAAAAUAACGAGGCGAAACGAUUCCAAGUUCCAAGCGACUUUCUGUUAAUCGAGAAGCGUCGAUACAUCCGGACGAACGAGAAAACUUGUGCUCGCAAUUUUUCGAGGUCAGAGGGGAAAAGUUCGCUGAUUGUUCGAACUGCGUUUAACACUUCGUGUGACGUAACAUAUCGCUUUUUAAUGUUCUAAGCGUGUUAUAAGUUUGUGGUAACGUACUUACCUCGAACGUUUCUUGGAACGUGUUCCAAGAAGUUGCGUGUAUAAAUGCACGCAAUUCGACUUCUUCUUUCCUUUAAACGCUUCAUCCGCGGGUCGCUUUUCGUAGUUUUAACAGCCAGGUUCUGUUAAACACUGGUGAAACAAAGCUAACGAAACCGGACGACUAGGUGCAAUUUGUGGCUCAUUAUAAAUCAUUAGCGGUUGCGUAUGGAAAUUGCCCGGCGGUAAACUUAACACUUUACCGGAUACUGGCGUGUUUGUAAUUGCAGCGUAGAGGGACUCGGUUUCAUGGGAGCCGUUUUUAACCCAAUUUUCUCUGAAUUUCCUGCUUCGAAAUAUUUUACUUUUUCAUAACUCAAAGUUGGAUUAUUGUUGGAAUAAAUUAGAUGCGUUAAAUUAGUCGCAAUGGAUCAGAAAUUUUUCAUUUAUUAUAUAGAAAACCAUUAGCUCUUUGACGUAUUGAUUUGAUAACACAAAGUAACAUAGCACUCGAUUGAUAUGAAUUUUAUUAACCUUUAAGCUUCUACUCGAUAUGCCGUAAGUGCUAUUUCGCAUUGUGUCAUACUUUCUACGCUACACUUGAUACAUAUUAACGCUGUAACUCGUAUGUGAAAUGAUUCAAUAACAAAGAAACAAUAUCGUAUUACGUAGGCUGUAAUGCAACUAUAUAUCGUAUCAAACUCGACGUUGGACAGCAGAGAAAAUGCAGAAACUUCAUACAAGCUCGCCAAUAUACGUCCGUUUAAAAUAAAUUCGCCAGCAACCUGCAACGUAUUAUCUGCACAGAACAGGCGAGGAUGAAUUGAAUGCAGCAGCGGCAGCUUAUCACGCGACAUGUUUCGUUAAAUUACAUUACCCUCGAACUGACGAAUCCGACCCUUUAGAGUACACACAGAAUUGCUCCACGGUUAAUCAAACACGAUUAGAAUCUGUUCGUAUUUCAUUUACGCGACACAGCGUAUACGAUCCAUAAAAAUACCGAACAAAAUGGAGCAAUCGGGAAGAAGAUUGGAAUGCGUUCCAAUCUGCCGUGCAAGAAAACGUAAAUCGAACAAAGCAUGUACACAUUGGCGUAACUGCGGAUUCCCUUGAAAUACCUCUCGUAAAAUUUCUUGAUAGAAAUAAAUAUUUGGACUAAUUUAACUGAGAAACGAAGAUAACGUUUUUACGACUCAUUCUGGACAGAAAAGUUACGCCAAUGGCAGAAUUGGUUCAUAAUUGGCAGAUGUACUCAUUAAUUUUAUUACACUUCACCAUUCCAUUGUGAGCGAUUGUAAGGUGAACUCAUAUUGUGACCCAUUUAUAACGUAACCGCCGAGUACUGAGAAUA
rnacentral:misc_RNA from 1 species